rnacentral:rRNA from 1 species
CCUUGACAUCCAGAGAACUUAGCAGAGAUGCUUUGGUGCCUUCGGGAACUCUGAGACAGGUGCUGCAUGGCUGUCGUCAGCUCGUGUUGUGAAAUGUUGGUUAAGUCCGCAACGAGCGCAACCCUUAUCCUUUGUUGCCAGCGGUUCGGCCGGGAACUCAAAGGAGACUGCCGGUGAUAAACCGGAGGAAGGUGGGGAUGACGUCAAGUCAUCAUGGCCCUUACGGCCAGGGCUACACACGUGCUACAAUGGCGCAUACAAAGAGAAGCGACCUCGCGAGAGCAAGCGGACCUCAUAAAGUGCGUCGUAGUCCGGAUUGGAGUCUGCAACUCGACUCCAUGAAGUCGGAAUCGCUAGUAAUCGUAGAUCAGAAUGCUACGGUGAAUACGUUCCCGGGCCUUGUACACACCGCCCGUCACACCAUGGGAGUGGGUUGCAAAAGAAGUAGGUAGCUUAACCUUCGGGAGGGCGCUUACCACUUUGUGAUUCAUGACUGGGGUGAAGUCGUAACAAGGUAGGCGUAGACGU